AUCCAGCUGGUGAGUCUCAAAUAGGACGAAACGCACGUCAAACUGGAU
rnacentral:hammerhead_ribozyme from 1 species